GAAUGAACGCUGGCGGCGUGCUAACACAUGCAAGUCGAACGAGAAAUCUUUAGCUUGCUAGAGAAAGUAAAGUGGCGCACGGGUGAGUAACGCGUGGGUAAUCUGCCUCCGAAUCGGGGAUAACAUUGCGAAAGCGAUGCUAAUACCGGAUAAAAUCUGGUUGGCUUCGGUGAACCGGAUCAAAGGUGGUCUCUUUAUAAAAGCUACCGUUUGGAGAUGAGCUCGCGUACCAUUAGCUAGUUGGUGAGGUAAAGGCUCACCAAGGCGACGAUGGUUAGCUGGUCUGAGAGGAUGAUCAGCCACACCGGAACUGGAACACGGUCCGGACUCCUACGGGAGGCAGCAGUGAGGAAUUUUGCGCAAUGGGGGAAACCCUGACGCAGCAACGCCGCGUGAGUGAUGAAGGCUUUCGGGUCGUAAAGCUCUGUCAGGUGGGAAGAACCCACCAAGUGUUAAGACCACUUGGUGCUGACGGUACCACCGAAGGAAGCACCGGCUAACUCCGUGCCAGCAGCCGCGGUAAUACGGGGGGUGCGAGCGUUAUUCGGAAUCAUUGGGCGUAAAGGGCGCGCAGGCGGUUUUGUAAGUCAGAUGUGAAAUCCCGGGGCUUAACCCCGGAAGUGCAUAUGAAACUAUGAGACUUGAGUAUGGGAGAGGGAAGCGGAAUUCCUGGUGUAGCGGUGAAAUGCGUAGAUAUCAGGAGGAACACCGGUGGCGAAGGCGGCUUCCUGGACCAAUACUGACGCUGAGGCGCGAAGGCGUGGGGAGCGAACAGGAUUAGAUACCCUGGUAGUCCACGCAGUAAACGUUGAUCACUAGGUGUAGCGGGUAUUGACCCCUGCUGUGCCGGAGUUAACGCAUUAAGUAUCCGCCUGGGGAGUACGAUCGCAAGAUU
rnacentral:rRNA from 1 species